GAUGAACGCUGGCGGCGUGCCUAACACAUGCAAGUCGAACGAUGACGAUUAAAAGAUUUCUUCGGAAUGAACUUACUUGGAUUAGUGGCGGACGGGUGAGUAACGCGUGAGUCACCUGCCUUGUACAUGGGGAUAGCCGUUGGCAACGCCGAAUAAUACCCUAUGACAUCAAAUAAUCGCAUGAUAAUUUGAUAAAAGAUUUAUCGGUAUAAGAUGGACUCGCGUCUGAUUAGCUGGUGGGUAGAGUAAAAGCCAACUAAGGCAACGAUCAGUCGCCGGCUGGGAGGAUGAUACGGCCACAUUGGGACUAGGCCACGCCCCGGCCCCCUACGGGAGGAGGCAGGGGGGAAAUUGGCACAAGGGGGGAAACCCGAAUGCAGCGAGGCGGGGGGAUGUAGAAGGCCUUCGGGUUGUAAAAAUCUUUUGCAUGGGAAGAAAAUGACAGUACCAUACGAAUAAGGACCGGCUAAUUACGUG
rnacentral:rRNA from 1 species